rfam:Cetobacterium somerae ATCC BAA-474 genomic scaffold Scaffold327, whole genome shotgun sequence.
GGGGUGAGCCCAAACCGUAGAUGUGCCAAGGAUGCAGCCGUUGCAUCUACGGGGUAGCGGGAAGAUCGUCUGAAGAACUGCAAGGUAUUCGACAUUAUGAUACGCCGAACUGGAAAGGUCUGGAAAGGCCUGCCGUAGAGAGUGAAAGCCUCGUACAGGUAAACCGUAUCAAAUGUAUGAUCUCUCCCAAGUAGCACGGAACACGAGGAAUUCUGUGUGAAUCUGCGAGGACCAUAUCUCGUAAGGCUAAAUACUCUUACUUACCGAUAGCGCAUAGUACCGUGAGGGAAAGGUGAAAAGAACCCCGGGAGGGGAGUGAAAUAGAACCUGAAAUCGUGUGCUUACAAGCGGUCAGAGCCCUUUGGGGUGAUGGCGUGCCUUUUGGAGAAUGAUCCUGCGAGUUACGUUCAGUGGCAAGGUUAAGUUUAACGGAGCCGAAGGGAAACCGAGUCUGAAUAGGGCGACAUAGUCGCUGGGCGUAGACGCGAAACCUGGUGAUCUAAGCCUGUCCAGGGUGAAGCUGUGGUAAGACACAGUGGAGGCCCGAACUCACCGCCGUUGAAAAGUUGGGAGAUGAGGUAGGUUUAGGGGUGAAAAGCCAAUCGAACCAGGAGAUAGCUCGUUCUCUCCGAAAUGCAUUUAGGUGCAGCCUUGAGUGUUCAAUUAUGGGGGUAGAGCACUGAAUGACCUAGGGGGCAUACUGCUUACCGAAGUCAAUCAAACUCCGAAUACCAUAAUUCUAGAGCUCAGGAGUGAGACUAUGGGAAUUAACUUCCAUGGUCAAAAGGGAAACAACCCAGACCACCAGCUAAGGUCCCUAAUUAUAACUAAGUGGGAAAGGAGGUGGAGAUUCACAAACAACCAGGAGGUUGGCUUAGAAGCAGCCAUACCUUUAAAGAGUGCGUAAUAGCUCACUGGUCGAGAGUCUCUGCGCCGACAAUGUAACGGGGCUAAGUUAUAAACCGAAGCUGUGGAGUUGCGUAAGCGACUGGUAGGAGAGCGUUCUGUAGGCCGUUGAAGGAGAAUCGACAAGAGACUCUGGAGGUAUCAGAAGUGAGAAUGCAGGAAUAAGUAGCGAGAAUGGGGGCGAGAAUCCCCCACGCCGGAAGACCAAGGGUUCCAGGGUAAAGUUUGUCUCCCCUGGGUAAGCCGGGUCCUAAGCCGAGGCUAGAUUGCGUAGGCGAAUGGAAAACAGAUUAAUAUUUCUGUGCCACUGAUAUCAAGUGAUGGAGGGACGCAGGAGGUUAUGCACGCUGGCGAACGGAAGUGCCAGUUCAAGCAUGUAGCGUGGUCUAGUAGGAAAAUCCGCUAGACUAAACGUGAGGUGUGAUGAGGAGUCGUAAGAUGGAAGGUGCAAAUACCACACUGCCGAGAAAAGCUUCUAAGCGUUAUAAAGAUAUUAGUGCCCGUACCCCAAACCGACACAGGUGGUCAGGAUGAGAAAUCUAAGGCGGACAGGCUAACUCUCGUUAAGGAACUCUGCAAAAUAGCCCCGUAACUUCGGGAGAAGGGGUGCCUUUUAUGGUGAGCGUACACGCGACGCAAAGCUAUGAGAGGCCGCAGUGAAGAGUCUCAGGCGACUGUUUAACAAAAACACAGGUCUAUGCUAAGCUGUAAGGCGACGUAUAUGGGCUGACACCUGCCCAGUGCCGGAAGGUUAAGAGGAGGAGUGAGAGCUCCGAAUUGAAGCCCCGGUGAACGGCGGCCGUAACUAUAACGGUCCUAAGGUAGCGAAAUUCCUUGUCGGGUAAGUUCCGACCUGCACGAAUGGUGUAACGAUCUGAGAGCUGUCUUGACGGGAGGCCUGGUGAAAUUGUAUUACCGGUGAAGAUACCGGUUACCUGCAGUAGGACGGAAAGACCCCAUGGAGCUUUACUGUAGCUUGGUAUUGGGUUUUGGCAUCGUAUGUAUAGGAUAGUUGGGAGACUAUGAUGCGUGGUCGCUAGAUUACGCGGA